rnacentral:tRNA from 1 species
GAUAAAGAAAGGAAUUAAACCAAUGUGUACAGGACUACAGCCUGCCGCCUAACACUCGGCCACUUUACC